NNNNNNNNNNGGUAGGCUCCCGGGAGAGCCUGGCGGGGCGGGAAUCUGGGCGACGAGGGGACCCCGCAGCGCCUCCGUUGUCCUCAGGAGCUUGCUUUUUGGUGACUCCACGAUGCGGACCCAGUAAAGGAAAAGGGAGGACGUCUUGCUUCUGGAGCCAAGGUUCUCUACCGUCGUCGGCUCACGGCCUGAGAAACCCUUGGACGCGUGUCCACGUCCGCAGAGAAAGCCCGUUUGGAAGAAAACUAAGACGGGUACAACUUCAUUUUAUUUGCCUUUCGGCUUUUCGAGAGAUCCUGCUUUGGUUGCCUUUUUUUUUUUUUUCUUCUUUUUUAAACGUGUUCCAGAAUGAUGGUGAAAUUUGAAAGUGCAAAUGACCGGGAGACCUAAAAAAUGUUGGCGUAUCUGCGCACGUACAAGAAAGGCUUUUCGAGCCAAUGGAGAGAAACCAUCCUUACCUGCUCAAGUUUCUAAUGGAGAUGUAAUUGACAUAGAGCAUCCUGUUCGUUUUAGAUGUACAGCAUAAUGAUGCGUGAGGUUUGGGGUUUUUUUCUUUCUUUUGUUUUUUUAAGUAUUUAAAUUCCAGUUAGUAAAAAUAAAUAAAUAAAUAGAUCCCAGUUACUUGAUAUACAGUGUAAUGUUAGUUUCGGGUGUACAAUACAGUGAUUCAACAGUUCUAUGUAACACCCAGUCACGGGCGCACUCCUUCAUCCCCGUCACCCAUGCGCCCAUCCCCCCACCCACGUCUCCUCUGAUAACCAUGGAGGUCCUAGAUUCCAUCGGGGUCCAAAUUGAGAAGCUCCACCCAGCCUGGAAAAUCCCAUCACCACUCUAAACAAGAUUCCUACUAUCUACAGUGGAAAGAUCUGAUCAUCUACAGCACAGGACAUUAAUACCGACUGCCAUGAUGAGAACAUUAAGCCAAUCCCGGACAUGAUUAGUACAGAAGUUAAAGCCUAUGAUUCUGCUCUCAGCUCUGUCACUAACCCACUUCAUGACCCUCCUAGGAAACCACUUACCCUUUUUGUGACUCAGUGUCCCUCAUCUGUAAAACAGGGUUAACACUUCCCAUGAACACUUCACAGGAUGUUGAGUCUCCUCCCAUUGGCCAAACAUGAUUGUUUAAACCAAAAUAUUUUCUGGUUACUUAUGAAAUAGUUUAGAUAAGCAAAAAUGUGCAAAGAAUAUGGACCAAUUGGAGUGCCUGGAUGGCUCAGUGGGUUAAGCCUCUGCCUUCCGCUCAGGUCAUGAUCCCAGGGUCCUGGGAUCGAGUCCUGCAUCGGGCUCUCUGUUCAGCAGAGAGCCUGCUUCCUCCUCUCUCUCUGCCUGUCUCUCUGCCUACUUGUGAUCUCUGUCUGUCAAAUAAAUAAAUAAAUGAAUGAAUAAAAUCUUAAAAAAAAAAAAGAAUAUGGACCAACUCCCAGGUAUCUACCAGUCCAACAAACAAAGGAUGACAUGCAGAGUGGAAACUCUGGCCUGAAGGAUUUUGUUUGGUCGUAUUUGCACUCCUCCCCAUGUUCCAGUAUUGAGAACAUAUCUGUAUUUUUAUCAUGAUCAUUACCCCUAUCAAUAUCUGGGUCAUAUAAACUAAGACAAAGAGGCUGGGAAAAACAAGAAUCAGUUCCUGCCUAUUUCUCACCAUUUAUAUUCAAUAAUGCUUAGGAAUUUCCAAGUGCUUCUCUGUAACCACACUGUGUUUCAUUUUUAGGACACCUUCUGUGCAAGGAAAAGGAAUGCACACCUAUGGGGCACCUGGGUGGCUCAGUCAGUUGAGCAUCUGACUGUUGGUUUUGGCUCAGGUCAUGAUCUCAAGAGUGUGGGGUGGAGCCCCGAUUGGGCUCCGGACUCAGCACAGAGUCUGUUUGAGAUGCUUCCUCUCCCUCCCAUUCUGCUCUUCCCCUGGCUCCUGUGUGCACACUUCUCUGUCUCUCUCUUUCUCUAAAUAAAUCUCUAAAUUUAUUUAGACUGUAUCUAAAUAAAUACAAUCUUAAAAAGAAAAGAAAGCAUACCUCUAACUGCCUUCAACAAUAAGUGACUCUUACUGAUUUACGGAACUCGAGUCCAGAAGUAGACUCAGGUUGUGUUUGCUCUGGAAGCUGAACAGUGGAUCGAAGUUUCUCCUUGGUUCCGUCUUCCUGCUUUUCGCCAUAUCCGUUGUUUCUCCUGGCUGGCUUCCUUCAGGGUGUUCAAAUGGCCCCCAGGCCGGGACAAACUCAAGCCCUGCAAGGAAAAGCCAUCAUCUUUUCCCAUCAUUCCCAGCUGGAAUCCUAAAAUCCACUCAGAUUAGAUCACCUUGGACCACAUGUGACAACAACAAGAAGCACCAUGGGACUUAGUCUUGGUCACAUGUCACAGAUUUCAUGUCUGGAGCUUGGGUAGAGUUAACUUCAGCAGAACCGAGUACAUACCUUCCUACCAGAAGAAAGUCCCAUCAUCCGCCUCAGUGGUUUCUAGACAGCUUUGCCUGAAAAAUAAGUUGCUAAACAAAUAGUGUUAGUAAGAUGCUAUUUUAAAUGGUACCAGUACAGGGAUGGACCUGGGUUUUGUAGCACCUAAGGCAUGAAUUGGGAGUAGCAGUUUCCUUUAAGAAAAUGAAUACAAGGGGUGCCUGGGUAGCUCUGUUGGUUAAGGAUAUGCCUUUGGCUCGGGUCAUGAUUCCAGGGUCCUGGGAUCAAGCCCC
ensembl:lincRNA